rnacentral:rRNA from 1 species
AUUGAACGCUGGCGGCAUGCUUUACACAUGCAAGUCGAGCGGCAGCGCGGGGGGCAACCCUGGCGGCGAGCGGCGAACGGGUGAGGAAACCAUCGGAACGUGCCCGAGAGUGGGGGGAUAACGCCGCGAAAGCGGCGCUAAUACCGCAUAUUCUCUGAGGAGGAAAGUGGGGGACCGCAAGGCCUCACGCUCCCGGAGCGGCCGAUGUCGGAUUAGCUAGUUGGUGGGGUAAAGGCUUACCAAGGCGACGAUCCGUAGCUGGUCUGAGAGGAUGAUCAGCCACACUGGGACUGAGACACGGCCCAGACUCCUACGGGAGGCAGCAGUGGGGAAUUUUGGACAAUGGGGGCAACCCUGAUCCAGCCAUGCCGCGUGCGGGAAGAAGGCCU